ensembl:miRNA gga-mir-6559 gga-mir-6559
AAUGUGCCUUAGGAAAGGGAAUGGGUUGGGAGAAAGAGUCAUUACCUGACUUCUUGUUAUCGGGCUUCAGAGUUGACUCUUCCUUGCAGUUCUUGGCGAGCAGAACUUA